GUAUAUUCAUUAAUGGACAAUCAGGGAUCACGUAGUUCUUUAUCUAGAAAAAGGUUUGUGAGUUUGUUUAAAAAUUAUUAUGGAUUGUUUGACAUUUUUCGAAAAAAGUGAAAAGGUUUUGUUUAACAAAAUUGAGCUUUUGGUUUUAAAUAUUUUGUGUAUUUUUCCUGUUAAAAAAAUGGUGGAAAAAGAAGAAAAGAAAGUGGUCAUAGGUCGACG
rnacentral:lncRNA from 1 species